CAGAAUGAAAGAGACGUCAAAAAGAAGCCUGUGUCAAAACAAUCUAUGCGGGGUAAUAUUUGUGCAAAACAGCUUUAAUAUGGUGACAGACGAGCACAUACAAUAUUCAUGAGAUGGAUCUCAGAAGCUUCACAGAUGAGUUUCAUGUGCAAACUGUUGAUUGACUGGCUUAUAAUUGUCUUGAUCAUCAAGUGAGAAACACUGACAAUGACAAAAAGGACAUAAAAAAAUGCCUGAAACAUGAGCAAAUGCCAAGACUCAUAUUUAGCUAACAAGCCUUGCAAGUAAAGAGUGUUGUACCAGUUUGCAUUAUUUGAUGAGAAAAUAAAUAGGCUACUUCAAAAAGGAGGUCACUGCCUAAAUUAGGUAAACAAGUACCUAAUGAAAAGAAUUCAGAAUCAGAGAAUUAAUCAGAACCAGCAAAAAGAUUGCAACUGACAAGCCGCUAACACAAUGGCUUUCAAGAGCAGUUUAUUCAUCAGCGUUUUCUCCCAUGCGUCCCUUCAGCCUCCAUGCUGAAGUUCCACUGCAACCUGUUGCCUUGGAGACAGUGGAGCUCUAAAAUAGUAGUGUUAAGGCAGCAAUAAGGAGACGGACAUCGUUUCAUUUGCUUCCUGUUAAUUGAAAACUGUAAUCGCUUCCGGAUUCACUGCCACUUAAUUGUUUUUACAUGAAGACUUUGACAGUGUUUCUUCUGCUAGCUGAAAUGUCCCCCAUCUUCAAUCUUCGCAAUCAGACAAGCAAGCUGGUUCAUCCAUCAAACCAACCUGGAUUCCCUCAACUUCUCCACAUCCCUGAUCACCUUUGGACGGUAUCACCUACCUACAUUUCAGUCAGAGCUCUCUUUGCCUUUGUGGAAAGCCUUUGUCUCAUGGAAUCUCACAGUAAGCUCUUACACACCUUCUCACUAAUACCAGCAGUACUGUGGGCCUGGAUUUAACACACUGUCUCUAGUGGUUAUCUUUCUCCAGAUCUGGAAGAAACCCCCUGAGAAAAGUCCCCAACCUCCGUGAACUCACUUUCACCUUUUCACAUCCAAUAAGGACUGUGAAACUUAGAUGGUGCCUCUACUGGUUCUGCUCUUGGGUCCACAUUUGUUAUUCAGCUACCAGCCAUGGCAGCCAAACAUGGUGCUGUGCAUUAAGCCCAAACUCUUUGGACAGGCAAAACCAGAACCAAAGAUAAUUGUUUUAGUGGUUUGUUCAUAUCCAACUCUGCUAACCUAGGCUGUGCUGCCAUGUUCUUUCUAGAGACAUGAGACUUUCUAUCUGGCAAUGAACUUUAAUAUUUAAUAUGCUAACUGAGGCCUGCAACCAUAGCUCCCAGUGAGAUGUAAGUCUUGGGUUCUUUGCAGUCUCCCUGGGCACUGCAUAGUCUGCAAUCUAACUACCAGCUACCAGCCAUGGCAGC
rnacentral:lncRNA from 1 species